UGAGGCGGGGUCUCACUUUGUCACCCAGGCUGGAGUGCAGAGGUACAAUCUCAGCUCAAUGCAAUCUCUGCCUUCCUGGCUCAAGCAAUUCUCCCACUGCAGCCUCCUAAGUAGCUGGGAAUACAGGUAUACACGAGUACACCCAGCUAAUUUUUGUAUUUUUAUGUGGAGACAGGGUCUUGCUGUAUUCCCCAGGCUAGUCUCGAAUUCCUGGACUCAAGCAGUCCGCCCGCCUCGGGCUCCCAAAAUGUUGGUGUUAUACGUGUGAGCCUCUGCACCCGGCGGCAAAACUGGCUUUUAAUCAACCUUUUGGCUAAAGGAUUUCUCUUUUUAUUUAUUUGUAAAAGGAUUUCCCAUUUUUAUCUUUCUUUUUGAUAUUAAAAUGUUGCCUCAUCCUACCCAGUAAGUACUUGAAUUUGAAUUCUCUUCCUUUUCAUUUUUGCCUGCAAACUGACCAGUCUUUUCUGAGUUCAUCUCUUCUGUACGUUUUGUCAAGUGCAGUGAACAGCAACUACAAAAUAUUUUGUUUUUCUGUCUUUUUCUUUAGUAAAGGGUAGAUGAUCUGCCUUUCAGGUUAUCUCAAGGGGCAGUUUCACCUUUCCAUAAUAUAAAUUACCCUUGUGUAAGUUAUUUCUUCCAUCUUCUGAUAGCAAUUUCCUGAAUGCCUGCCAGCUAACCAUUAAGCCAGUGUUCAGUAUUUUAGCAUUUUAAAAAACAAGGGACCAAUUUCUGUGUCAGCAUGGGCUAGCUUGCCAUUGAAUAACAAAGGCAAAAUCUCACUGUCUCACACAACUUUUCUAUUGCAACUUGCCUAGGGACUUUGGUUUAGAUCAUAGGUUGGCCAUGAUCAAACUAUGGUCCAUGGGCAAAAUCUGUCUAGCUCCUUAUUUAUCUAAAUAAAGUUUUACUGGAAUAUA
rnacentral:lncRNA from 10 species